rnacentral:rRNA from 1 species
UACGAACCGUACAAACGUUAUUCGGAAUCACUGGGCUUAAAGGGUGCGUAGGCGGCCAUGUAAGUGAGGUGUGAAAUCCCUCGGCUCAACCGAGGAACUGCGCUUCAUACUGCAUGGCUUGAGGGAGACAGGGGUAAGCGGAACUGAUGGUGGAGCGGUGAAAUGCGUUGAUAUCAUCAGGAACACCGGUGGCGAAAGCGGCUUACUGGGUCUGCUUCGUGACGCUGAGGUACGAAAGCUAGGGUAGCGAACGGG